GAUGAACGCUGGCGGCGUGCCUAAUACAUGCAAGUCGAGCGAACAGACGAGGAGCUUGCUCCUCUGACGUUAGCGGCGGACGGGUGAGUAACACGUGGAUAACCUACCUAUAAGACUGGGAUAACUUCGGGAAACCGGAGCUAAUACCGGAUAACAUGUUGAACCGCAUGGUUCAACAGUGAAAGACGGUUUUGCUGUCACUUAUAGAUGGAUCCGCGCCGCAUUAGCUAGUUGGUAAGGUAACGGCUUACCAAGGCAACGAUGCGUAGCCGACCUGAGAGGGUGAUCGGCCACACUGGAACUGAGACACGGUCCAGACUCCUACGGGAGGCAGCAGUAGGGAAUCUUCCGCAAUGGGCGAAAGCCUGACGGAGCAACGCCGCGUGAGUGAAGAAGGUCUUCGGAUCGUAAAACUCUGUUAUUAGGGAAGAACAAAUGUGUAAGUAACUAUGCACGUCUUGACGGUACCUAAUCAGAAAGCCACGGCUAACUACAUG
rnacentral:rRNA from 1 species